GAUGAACGCUAGCUACAGGCUUAACACAUGCAAGUCGAGGGGCAGCAUGGUCUUAGCUUGCUAAGGCCGAUGGCGACCGGCGCACGGGUGAGUAACACGUAUCCAACCUGCCGUCUACUCUUGGACAGCCUUCUGAAAGGAAGAUUAAUACAAGAUGGCAUCAUGAGUCCGCAUGUUCACAUGAUUAAAGGUAUUCUGGUAGACGAUGGGGAUGCGUUCCAUUAGAUAGUAGGCGGGGUAACGGCCCACCUAGUCUUCGAUGGAUAGGGGUUCUGAGAGGAAGGUCCCCCACAUUGGAACUGAGACACGGUCCAAACUCCUACGGGAGGCAGCAGUGAGGAAUAUUGGUCAAUGGGCGCAGGCCUGAACCAGCCAAGUAGCGUGAAGGAUGACUGCCCUAUGGGUUGUAAACUUCUUUUAUAAAGGAAUAAAGUCGGGUAUGCAUACCCGUCUGCAUGUACUUUAUGAAUAAGGAUCGGCUAACUCCGUGCCAGCAGCCGCGGUAAUACGGAGGAUCCGAGCGUUAUCCGGAUUUAUUGGGUUUAAAGGGAGCGUAGAUGGAUGUUUAAGUCAGUUGUGAAAGUUUGCGGCUCAACCGUAAAAUUGCAGUUGAUACUGGAUAUCUUGAGUGCAGUUGAGGCAGGCGGAAUUCGUGGUGUAGCGGUGAAAUGCUUAGAUAUCACGAAGAACUCCGAUUGCGAAGGCAGC
rnacentral:rRNA from 1 species